rnacentral:rRNA from 1 species
AACGAACGCUGGCGGCAUGCUUUACACAUGCAAGUCGAACGAGAAAACCCUUCGGGGUGAGUACAGUGGCGCACGGGUGAGUAAUGCAUAGGAACGUGCCUUUAGGUGUGGAAUAACAACGGGAAACCGUUGCUAAUACCGCAUGAUCUGGAAACAGCAAAGAUGGCCUCUACUUGUAAGCUAUCGCCUGAAGAGCGGCCUAUGUCCCAUUAGCUUGUUGGUAGGGUAACGGCCUACCAAGGCUACGAUGGGUAGCUGGUCUGAGAGGAUGAUCAGCCACACUGGAACUGAGACACGGUCCAG